rnacentral:rRNA from 1 species
GACAGAGGUGCCGAGCGUUAGGCGGAAUCACUGGGCUUAAAGCGUGUGUAGGCGGAUUUGUAAGUACCUUGUGAAAUCCCAUGGCUCAACCAUGGAACUGCUCGGUAUACUGCUUAUCUUGAGCCACUUAGGGGCAGUCGGAACAGAUGGUGGAGCGGUGAAAUGCGUAGAUAUCAUCUGGAACGCCAAUGGUGAAAACAGGUAGCUGGGAGUGUGCUGACGCUGAGACACGAAAGCCAGGGGAGCGAACGGG